GUCAGUUUUGUUAGUUACUUAGUAGUUGACCAAUUGCUCAUUAGUUAGUCUGUGAUUCAGUUGGUUGUUCAGUCUGCUGGAUAGUUUGCAAGUUGGUUGGCUAGCUUGUUUGUUUGACAGUUGUUGUUUUUUUACCCUCCCAGUGAGCUGAUUGUUUGACUGUUAGUUAAUAAGUGAGUAAGUUGGUUGUUAGUGGGUCAGUCAGUCAGUUAGUCAUUACUUUUUUUUGUGAAUCAAUUUGUUUGUUUGGCCUAUAGUUGGUCAGUUAGGUAGUUGUAGUAGGUGGGUUAGUUAGUUGGUCAGUCAGUGGAUUAGUUUGGUCGGUUGAUGAGUUACUUCAUCUUUAAUUGGUUGGUUAGUGCUUUGUCAUCAUUGGGUUUUCAAUUCUUCUAGUAGUUAUUCAUCGAGUUGGUUACUUUUGAGGUCAUUGAGUCGAUUGGCGGGUGGGUGGCUGGGUCGGUAGGUUGGUUGAGAGUCACUCCCGAGUACAACGAAAAAAAGAUGUUUUGGGGAACAAACAUGUGUCCCCAUGACACCGAGACGAUGGACAUGUGACACACGUGUGCUGAGCCUUGAAAUAGAAUGAAAGAAAUCUUAAUCUGCCGUGGGCGUCACCACAUGACACAAGUGUUGCGCAACGACGACGAGAAGAGAAGUGAAAGACUGUGGCAUGAAUCACAGCUCCAGUGACCUACUUUUAAUUGUAAACAGUCCCGCUCAAACUUUACAAGUGUUACUAAAAAAAAAAAAA